rnacentral:rRNA from 1 species
GAUGAACGCUGGCGGCGUGCCUAAUACAUGCAAGUCGAGCGAACAGACGAGGAGCUUGCUCCUCUGACGUUAGCGGCGGACGGGUGAGUAACACGUGGAUAACCUACCUAUAAGACUGGGAUAACUUCGGGAAACCGGAGCUAAUACCGGAUAAUAUAUUGAACCGCAUGGUUCAAUAGUGAAAGACGGUUUUGCUGUCACUUAUAGAUGGAUCCGCGCCGCAUUAGCUAGUUGGUAAGGUAACGGCUUACCAAGGCAACGAUGCGUAGCCGACCUGAGAGAGUGAUCGGCCACACUGGAACUGAGACACGGUCCAGACUCCUACGGGAGGCAGCAGUAGGGAAUCUUCCGCAAUGGGCGAAAGCCUGACGGAGCAACGCCGCGUGAGUGAUGAAGGUCUUCGGAUCGUAAAACUCUGUUAUUAGGGAAGAACAAAUGUGUAAGUAACUAUGCACGUCUUGACGGUACCUAGUCAGAAAGCCACGGCUAACUACGUG